GACGAACGCUGGCGGCGUGCUUAACAAAUGCAAGUCGAACGAAGUGGCGCACGGGUGAGUAACGCGUAAUCAACCUGCCCUUCAGAGGGGGACAACAGUUGGAAACGACUGCUAAUACCGCAUAAUGAAGGAGGGGAUUGUGUCUGAUUAGCUGGUGGGAGGGGUACGGCCCACGAAGGCGGUGAUCAGUAGCCGGUCUGCGAGGGUGAACCGCCACCAUGGGACUGGACAACUGCCAAUACUCCUACGGGAGGCAGCGGUGGGUAAUCUUCCGCAAUGGACGAAAGUCUGACGGAGCAACGCCGCGUGAGUGAGGACGGCCUUCGGGUUGUAAAGCUCUGUUAAUCGGGACGCGGUACCGGAAUAGAAAGCCACGGCUAACUACGUGCCAGCAGCCGCGGUAAUAC
rnacentral:rRNA from 1 species